rnacentral:rRNA from 1 species
AAACCAACAGGGAUUGCCCUAGUAACGGCGAGUGAAGCGGCAACAGCUCAAAUUUGAAAUCUGGCCCCCGGGUCCGAGUUGUAAUUUGUAGAGGAUGCUUUUGGUGCGGUACCUUCCGAGUUCCCUGGAACGGGACGCCAUAGAGGGUGAGAGCCCCGUCUGGUUGGACGCCAAUCCUUUGUAAAGCUCCUUCAACGAGUCGAGUAGUUUGGGAAUGCUGCUCUAAAUGGGAGGUAUAUGUCUUCUAAAGCUAAAUAUUGGCCAGAGACCGAUAGCGCACAAGUAGAGUGAUCGAAAGAUGAAAAGCACUUUGAAAAGAGAGUUAAAAAGUACGUGAAAUUGUUGAAAGGGAAGCGCUCAUGACCAGACUUGGGCUUGGUUGAUCAUCCAGGGUUCUCCCUGGUGCACUCUUCCAGCCCAGGCCAGCAUCAGUUCGCUGUGGGGGAUAAAGGCUUCGGGAAUGUGGCUCCCUCGGGAGUGUUAUAGCCCGUUGUGUAAUACCCUGUGGUGGACUGAGGUUCGCGCAUUCGCAAGGAUGCUGGCGUAAUGGUCAUCAGCGACCCGUCUUGAAACACGGACCAAGGAGUCGUCUUCGUAUGCGAGUGUUCGGGUGUCAAACCCCUACGCGUAAUGAAAGUGAACGCAGGUGAGAGCUUCGGCGCAUCAUCGACCGAUCCUGAUGUUCUCGGAUGGAUUUGAGUAAGAGCAUACGGGGCCGGACCCGAAAGAAGGUGAACUAUGCCUGUAUAGGGUGAAGCCAGAGGAAACUCUGGUGGAGGCUCGCAGCGGUUCUGACGUGCAAAU